rnacentral:rRNA from 1 species
AGUGAACGCUGGCGGCAGGCCUAACACAUGCAAGUCGAACGGCAGCACGGCAGUAGCAAUACUGUGGGUGGCGAGUGGCGGACGGGUGAGGAAUACAUCGGGAUCUACCCUGUUGUGGGGGAUAACGUAGGGAAACUUACGCUAAUACCGCAUAAGAACUGAGGUUGAAAGCGGCGGACCGCAAGGCGUCGCGCGAUUGGAUGAACCGAUGUCCGAUUAGCUAGUUGGCGGGGUAAAGGCCCACCAAGGCGACGAUCGGUAGCUGGUCUGAGAGGACGACCAGCCACACUGGAACUGAGACACGGUCCAGACUCCUACGGGAGGCAGCAGUGGGGAAUAUUGGACAAUGGGCGCAAGCCUGAUCCAGCCAUGCCGCGUGGGGUGAAGAAGGCCUUC